AACGAACGCUGGCGGCAGGCUUAACACAUGCAAGUCGAGCGCCCCGCAAGGGGAGCGGCAGACGGGUGAGUAACGCGUGGGAAUCUACCCAUCUCUACGGAAUAACGCAUGGAAACGUGUGCUAAUACCGUAUACGUCCUUCGGGAGAAAGAUUUAUCGGAGAUGGAUGAGCCCGCGUUGGGUUAGCUAGUUGGUGGGGUAAAGGCCUACCAAGGCGACGAUCCAUAGCUGGUCUGAGAGGAUGAUCAGCCACACUGGGACUGAGACAGGACCCAGACUCCUACGGGAGGCAGCAGUGGGGAAUAUUGGACAAUGGGCGCAAGCCUGAUCCAGCCAUGCCGCGUGAGUGAUGAAGGCCCUAGGGUUGUAAAGCUCUUUCACCGGUGAAGAUAAUGACGGUAACCGGAGAAGAAGCCCCGGCUAACUUCGUGCCAGCAGCCGCCGCGGUAA
rnacentral:rRNA from 1 species